CAGAGGGAGAAGCGGGCUCCCCUGGCGGGGGGGGCUGAUGUGGGAGUCAAUCCCAGGAUCACACACCCUGAGCUGAAGACAGACGCUCAACCACUGAGCCACCCAGGGAUCCCAUGAUGGCAUAGUUUUUUGUGUAAUAGGAACAAAUAAUUUCUACAUAUGCAUAUAACAUUGCACUAAUUUUAGAUUUGUUUAGAGAAAACUUGACUGGGGUGGUAUGGAGAGGAAGGAAUAGGGAAGGUUUAAUGCAUUUGUCUGCUAUUAAUAAUGAGUAUACAGAAAUUUUCAGAGUGCAAUGGAGCUCAAGUAGGUACUCUAUGGGUGGAAUACAGAAACUUUAGUAUUUGAGUUCUUACCACUAUUGUGGUGCUUUAGCUUUUGUUUAUUUCAUCCAUUUCUAACCCUAUUUAUUCUUCACUAGUUUAGACAUGAAUCAAAGCAGCGAAGGAUGUAUGAAAAAGAUUAGCAGUGUGAAUCUUGACAAACUUAUACAUGACUUCUCACAGAUAGAAAAGAAAAUGAUAGAAACCAGUGGAAAGAAUAAUAUACUAGAUAUGCAGUUGGAAAAAACUAACUAUUUGUUAAAAGUAAUGCAAACAAAGGAAGUCUCAAUUAAAGAAGAAUGUGCUACUCUUCAUAGUAUGAUAAAAGGGCUACAACAGACCAUUGAGUCUCAACAUAAUUUGAAAGGUGAAAAUGAACAACUAAAAAGAAAUGCUGAUCUUAUGAAAGAAAAGUUAAAAUCUUAUGAACAGGAAUAUCAGAAUAAUAUUGCCAAACUUUUGAGUGAAAUGAAAAUCAAAGAGGAGGGACAUAAGAUAGAAAUAAGGAAACUUCAUCAGGACAUGCAGGAGAAAAUUGAGUCAAAUGAAGAAAAACAUAAAGAACUGAUAGAGAAAAAGGAGCUGGAAAUUUCAGAGUUAAAUGCAAAGUUAAGAACUCAAGAAAAGGAAAAACAAAGUGAAAUAAUCAAAUUACAAUUAGAGUUUGAUGCCAAACUAGCAAGAGUUCAAACUAAAUCAAAACCAUAUCCAGAUUCUACUAUUUUGCCACAGAGUAUCUACAGAAGGGUGACCUCAAAGUCAUCACCAGGAAUUUCUAUAAAGACAGCCAGUCCAAUUCACCUUCCUAUCAGUACCUAGCCUGUGAAUUCUAUCCCAGCGCUGCUAGCCUCAUUAUGUUGGGUCUCUCUGCACCAAAUCUUCCCAGAUGGAGUACAAAAUCAGCCAGAGGCAGAGGAGUUAUCAAAGUAUCUCCUAACUACCUGGCUUGGCAAGAUAUUUUAAUGCACCAAGUUCUGGCUGCUGCUUUCUAUCCUCCACCAAUCUAAGAAAAGGAAAGGGUAAGUAGGGAGUCCUGCACAGAAAUGGAAAAAGUCAGCAUGGAAAGAGAACCCAGGAAGAAAAGAGGUGGCAAAAAGGACAAUUUGCCAACCUGAAGGUGGCUUACAUGGGGCUCUUCAGGUUCAAGCAUUCUGUUUUUAUAAGUCUCUUUGGUACAGCUCCCUUCUGUUCCUCUAAUUCUUUAAAGUCUAACUCUAUGUAAACAAUAAAGGAUAUGAAUCUUUUCAGGUAUAAAAGCACCUGCCAAAAUGUUACUACCACAUCCCAGAUAAAUAUGGACCAAAGAAGAAACCUAACCAAGGAAAACAGUUGGAAAUAACUGCCCCUCUAUCAUUCCAAGCUCACUGCAAUUUACACUCAGUCUACAUACUGACUACCAUGACUUUCAGGAAGUUUCUGUGACUAGGUGGCAUGCUCUUGGGUAAAAAGAUGCCCUCUCUGGGUAGAAAAGUUAAAUAUCUGACCAGAAAUAUUACCCCAAAUAAGGCUAACUCUCUCAGUAGACAGGUACGCAUAAAAUAGGUGAUUUGUAGAGAGGUUGUGAUAAUAAGGAAGACAUUCAGCAGAGAUGAGCCGAAAAGAAAAAUCCACCCAGGAACAAGCUUAUUCUGAUAUAAAAGUCUGUGGAGAGCAAUCAGGACAACAUUCUAGAACUAGGAAGCUGGCACACUUUCAGACUGGGAUAAGUAAAAGAACUUUUGUAAGGGGUAGGGGAGGGAAUGCGGAAUAAGUUACCUAGAGUGAGCCCCAAAUUAAGAUGGGUAUAGAAAGGCUAGAAUCAGAUUGACUGGAGCUCUCAUGCACUGGUACAUAUAGAUAGAAGUUUUAAAAACCUGACCAGGGGGAUCGCUGGGUGGCUCAGUGGUUUAGCACCUGCCUUUGGCCCAGGGCG